rnacentral:rRNA from 1 species
GAAUAUUGGACAAUGGGCGAAAGCCUGAUCCAGCCAUGCCGCGUGGGUGAAGAAGGCCUUCGGGUUGUAAAGCCCUUUUGUUGGGGAAGAACUCCUGCUGGCUAAUACCCGGCGGGGAUGACGGUACCCAACGACUAAGCACCGGCUACCUUCGUUCCAGCAGCCGCGGUAAUACGCGGGGUGCAAGCGUUAGUCGGAAUUACUGGGCGUAAAGCGUGCGUAGGUGGUGGCUUAAGUCCGUUGUGAAAGCCCUGGGCUCAACCUGGGAAUUGCAGUGGAUACUGGGUCACUAGAGUGUGGUAGAGGGUGGCGGAAUUCCCGGUGUAGCAGUGAAAUGCGUAGAGAUCGGGAGGAACACCCGUGGCGAAGGCGGCCACCUGGGCCAACACUGACACUGAGGCACGAAAGCGUGGGGAGCAAACAG